AUCUAUGGCCAUACCACCCUGAACACGCCCGAUCUCCUCUGAUCUCUGAAGCUAAGUAGGGUCAGGCCUGGUUUGUACUUAGUACUUUGAUGGGAGAUAAUUGAUCAAUCUAAUAAUGCCAUAGGCU
ensembl:rRNA 5S_rRNA 5S ribosomal RNA